CUGGAAACUCCCUCAGCCGAUCCGUAGCCGGCGAUCCCCGGCUCCCUCGGCGCCGAGCCCACGGAGACGUUCCAAGCGUGCAUUUUCCCUUUCCCUUCCCCCAGGCCCUGGGACUGCAGCCUCCCCGAGACCGUGGAGGACAUGAAGCUGAUCCUGCACACGUGGGUGGCCCUGUUCUACAGGAGGCCCUCGGCGCAGCUCAACAGCUCGCGGAAGGUGGUGGAGCACCGCGACCCCAAGAAGUACGUCCUGCUCAACAGCUCCCAGCGCUUCUGGGACCUCAGCGACGACGACCUCGAGCCCCGCGGCCGCAAGACGUGCCCGGCCGACUCCAGGUCCGACCCCGACCAGACUCCCAGCAGCUCCGUGGAUCCCGGCGCUCCCAGAAGAGGGUCUUCCCGCCGGGAGAAGGGCCGGCCGCGCUCGCGGGGCGACGCCAACGGCGCUGCCGGAGGUGUGGACAGCACGGUGUCCUCCUCCUCCGGGGAGCUGCCCGGCGAGGAGGAGGAGCCUUCCUCCACCAGCUGUCCGGAGAGCGCUCCCGAGGAGAGCAUGGAUGAGGGAGAGGGGCAGCCGGGAAUCCCCGAGGACGUCUCGAGCGUCACCGCGGAGGAGCCGCCGGAUGCCGCGAUCACCCCCGGCCCUUCCGAGGAGCCGGGACGUGCCAGCGAGCGCCCGGCUGUGCCAGGCGUGGAAAACCCCCGCAGCCCGGCCCCCAAUUCCAGUGCAGCUCCGUGCACAGCCAGCCAGGAUGGAAUUCCAGGAGAUGGGGAGCAGCAGGAGAGCCAGCGGGAGGCGGGAGCAGGGCGUGGUUCUCCCAGGGAUUCGGAGAGCGCGGGAGAUGCCGGACACGGCGCGGAGGUUGAGGACAGCAGGGGCAGCAGCCGGGCCACCGGUGAUCCACGGGAUUCCAUGCCCUUGGAAGCGAGUCCUGGAAGUGCGAGCCGUCCACGACGCGCCCGCGAUUCCGUGCCCUUGGAAGCGAGUCCCCGGAGUGCCAAUCUUGCCGGAGCCAGCGAGGAAGGGCUGGAAUCACAAGACCCCUUCGGACACCUGGAGAAAGAGGAGGGAGAGUUGGAGGAGGACAAGGAGGAGAACGAGGAGGACUUUGAGGAAGUCCUGGGGUCUGUGGACUUGGUGUUGUCCGAGAGCAGCGACACCGAGAUGGAGAGCGAGCACAGCGACCAGAAAACAGGGAAUUCCCCACUUCCAGAGGACUUUGCUGCUCCUGGAGAGGACUCUGUGCCCAGCCCCUCCUCCUUGGCAUCGCCCUGCUCGGGCAGCUCCACACUGGUGAUGUCUGACGGGACUUGGACUGGGAAUUGGAGUGGGAUUGACUCUCCAGGGCUUCCUGGGGAGAGGGCACCGAGCGUGGAUGAGCCCCCGGAGCCCUGGGAUGCUCCGGCCACUCCGUGUUCGGAGACAGGCGGUGUUGGUGUGGCCAGUCCAGCCCAUGUGGGGUCACCCCAGGACAGUGGGGAGAUGAUCCCACCUGAUCCAGGCCUUUUCCACGGGGCACAGCCAGACAGUGUUACAGGCAGCCCAGAACCAGCUGGAGAGACACUCGGGAAUGACUUGGAGCAGAAGGACAGGGAUCAUGUGCCUGCUGAAGAAAGGUGGGAAUCUUCGGAUGUGGGGUCACCCCGUGACAGUGGAGAGACGUUCCCACCUGAUCCCGGCCUUUUCUAUGGAGCACAGCCAGACAGUGUUACAGGCAGCUCUGGAGCUGCUGGAGAGACACUCGGGAAUGACGUGGAGCAGAAGGACAGGGAUCACGUGCCCGCUGCCGGGAACAGGGACGGCCUGGAGUCCCCACACAGCCAGGGACUGGCACUGCCCUUGUCCCCUCACUCCAGCUCUGCCUGCCUGAUGUCUCCCGAUGGAUCCAUCAAUCCCAGAGCUGCUCCAGAGGACCGGGAGACCACGGCAGGCUUCCCGUCGCCGUCACGGCGCGACCUGGGCGGGAGCAGCCGCUUUUCCCGGGAACAGGGAGAUGAUGUCGGUGCUGAUCCCGGGGAACCAAACCAGGAAAGGAGCGAGGUUUUGGGGGAAGAAGAGCCUGGCAGCCCUUGUUCCAACGGCACAGGAGUGCCGGAUGAUCCCAUGGGAGCAGGUGGUGGCCAGGACUUCCCCUUGGACUACAGAGCCGCGGGAGGUGAUCCCGGGGCUGGGGAGGGUGAGGAUGUGUGUCCUGGUGCAGAGAAUUCCCCCAGGAGCGACAGAACGGACAUGGAGAUGGGGGGUGACACUCCACAGGAGCCAGAGAUGCCUCUCCAUCCCCCCCUGGAGUCAGAGCCCUCCUCUUUGGAGAGGGAAGGGAUGUCAGCCCUGGAGGAGCCCCCCGGGCAGCGGCGGAGCUUCCCACACAGCCCCUCCCCAUCCAGCCCUGGAUACUCAGCUCCUGCUUCUCCUGCUUAUCAAGAAGACACAGAACCCCCCAGCUCAGAGCAGAGCCCGUGGGAGCCAGCCCUGGGCCAGCCCUGGCAUUCCUGGGAGGAAGGAGGCGCUCCAGAGGGGAGUGUGGGUGCCCGGAGCCUGGAGGGCUCCGUAAAUCCCAGAUGUUCCGGGGGGGUGAUAAGAUACCCGGCUCCACGCCCCGCGGGGCGGGCACGGGGCUCCCCUGUGGAUGUGCUUCCAAGGGAGCCAAGAUCCAGGUCUCCUCCUCUUCCACACAGUCUCCAGGAUGGUCUCCACAGCGCCGAGCCGGGCUCAGUCCUGGAUGUGUGUCCCGGGAUGGUCCCUCCCGGCACGGAUCCGGCUCCGGACGAUACCUCGUGGUCCUACUCCCCCUGUGCCAGCCCCGGGAGCCAAAGGGAGGAUCCCAUCCCGCUUGAGGACUGGGAAGAAGGAAGAAGCAUCCCUCUUUCCAGCGCUCCAUCUUCUCCAGAGGGGGAUUUUCUCGAUCCGUGGCACGAGCCCCGCUCCGCGUGGGAGGACAGCGGAUCCGAGGAAUUCCCUGAUCCCGGGGAUGAGGAAUCCGAGGCAUUCCCUGAUCCACACCGUGCCAGCAGGGACAUGGGACCCCAGGCAUUCCCUGAUGCACACCGUGCCAGGGCAGAGGUGGAGGAGGGGGAAAUCCUCACUUCCCCCAUCCCCGCGUUGCCGUUCUGCGAGCACAGGGAUCCCUCUGGGGAAAGGCUGGAGUUCAGCGACGCUGAGGACGCUCUGGACACGUUCCCGAGGGCACAGCAGCUCCUCAGCAGGGACACACGCAGGGCCGUGGCCUUCCAGGAUCCAUUGGACCUUUCAUCCAGCGACUCCGAGCAGGAAUACUUUGGGAGGAACCCACGCCCCCCGCUUCCAGCCAGGGCUUCCCGCGGCGCGAGAUCCGUGGACGCCGCGGGCACCAGGACAAACGGCAACGACUCCUCCGUGGAGGGGCAGGGAGAGGGCUGGGGCCAGGGCGUCUCCAGGGAUUCCCGGCGCUCCGUGAUCACCCGGCACCGCCGGGAGAGGCCUGGGAAUUCCCAGACUCCGAGGAGGCGGCGGCGCCGCCCGGGGGAGUCCCAUUUGUUACGGAACAACUUGCUGGGCGACUGGAGGGGCUCCGAGGAGCUCACCCAGAACACCCUGGACAUGGAGUGUCUCCGUUUCCAUUAUAAGCUAAACCAGGUCCUUGGGAAUAGGAAACCGCCCUUUUCUACCUCCGAGAGCAUCUUCCCGAGAGACUUUUCCCGGCGGGACCCUCCGCAGGGCAGGAGCCCCUUGCAGGUGACCAUCCCGCCCUCGCACACGUGGCCGGGCCGGAGCAGAUCCCGCCGGCAGAGGGGCUGGCACGAGGAGGACACCCCCGGGGACACCAGGGGGAGAUCCCCAUCCCGCUCCCGACCCCCCUCCCGCCUCGGGAAGCCCCGCCAGGCCGGCCGGCCGCUGGAUUUCUCCGGGGACGUCACGUCGUCCCUGCACGAGUGAUUCCCCAGUGUGACGAGCGGUUCGGUGCUGAGCAGGGCGGACGCCGGGAAGGAGGGCGGAGGGCAACGGGGCGAGCCCCGGGAUGCCGGGGCCGGGCCGUCCCGGGGCCCCGAGCCCUUCGCAGGGCGUCGAUCCGGCGUGGCUGUGCGGGGCCCUGCGCUCCCACCUGCGCCGCGUGGCCUCCGGGGCCUCCACGCACCCCGGGAUGUUCUACCUGGUGGAGACGGGCAAGGAGCCGUUCUUCGAGAGGGUGAAGGUAAGAGGAGACCCCCCCCCGGAUAGGGAUGGGGGGAACUGAGGGGCAGGGAGAGGU
rnacentral:lncRNA from 1 species